GACGAACGCUGGCGGCGCGCCUAACACAUGCAAGUCGAACGAGCGAGAGAGAGCUUGCUUUCUCGAGCGAGUGGCGAACGGGUGAGUAACGCGUGAGGAACCUGCCUCAAAGAGGGGGACAACAGUUGGAAACGACUGCUAAUACCGCAUAAGCCCACGACCCGGCAUCGGGUAGAGGGAAAAGGGGCAAUCCGCUUUGAGAUGGCCUCGCGUCCGAUUAGCUAGUUGGUGAGGUAACGGCCCACCAAGGCAACGAUCGGUAGCCGGACUGAGAGGUUGAACGGCCACAUUGGGACUGAGACACGGCCCAGACUCCUACGGGAGGCAGCAGUGGGGAAUAUUGCACAAUGGGGGAAACCCUGAUGCAGCGACGCCGCGUGGAGGAAGAAGGUCUUCGGAUUGUAAACUCCUGUUGUUGAGGAAGAUAAUGACGGUACUC
rnacentral:rRNA from 1 species